GAGAUUUGUGGUAUGUAUUUGUUCUAGGUUGAUUGCCCUGAUUAUAGUAAAGCAUGAUAUGUAGUUGCAAUGUAGCAAACCUCUUGCCCCCCCAAAAAUCAUUUGGAAAGUAUUUUGGCAUCAUAUAGGAUAGUUUGGAAUUCAUUUUUGGAUAAUUUUGCUUAGAAUGGCAUUUGAAACUCAUCUAGGCGCCUAAUGAAUAAUGCAUUGGUUUAAUGAAUGUUUAAUGUGUUUCUUUCUCCAGGCAUUUCAUUU
rnacentral:misc_RNA from 1 species